rnacentral:rRNA from 1 species
GACGAACGCUGGCGGCGUGCUUAACACAUGCAAGUCGAACGGAAAGGCACUGCUUUUGUGGGGUGCUCGAGUGGCGAACGGGUGCGUAACACGUGAGUAACCUGCCCUUGACUUUGGGAUAACUUCAGGAAACUGGGGCUAAUACCGGAUAGGAGCUCCUGCUGCAUGGUGGGGGUUGGAAAGUUUCGGCGGUUGGGGAUGGACUCGCGGCUUAUCAGCUUGUUGGUGGGGUAGUGGCUUACCAAGGCUGUGACGGGUAGCCGGCCUGAGAGGGUGACCGGCCACAUUGGGACUGAGAGACGGCCCAGACUCCUACGGGAGGCAGCAGUGGGGAAUAUUGCACAAUGGGCGGAAGCCUGAUGCAGCAACGCCGCGUGCGGGAUGACGGCCUUUGGGUUGUAAACCGCUUUCGCCUGUGACGAAGCGUGAGUGACGGUAAUGGGUAAAUAAGCACCGGCUAACUACGUG